GACGAACUGUCCUAACGUUGUUCGGAAUCACUGGGCGUAAAGGGUGCGUAGGCGGCCGUGCAAGUCUGGCGUGAAAGCCCCGGGCUCAGCCCGGGAAGUGCGCUCGAAACUGCGCGGCUCGAGUGCCGGAGGGGAGAGUGGAAUUCCUGGUGUAGCGGUGAAAUGCGUAGAUAUCAGGAGGAAUACCGGUGGCGAAAGCGACUCUCUGGACGGCAACUGACGCUGAGGCACGAAAGCGUGGGGAGCAAACAGG
rnacentral:rRNA from 1 species